UGCAGACCUGCUCAUAUCUCAGUUACAACUGGCUAAAACUGUUUGAAUAAGAUGUUGAAACAUGAUAAUACAAUCAUCCCUCCACAGUAAGAGCUAUCAGACAGGCGAUUGACGACGGUUUAACUACAGGGUCACCACACAUUAGGCAAGGGAAGAAGUUGAGAAGGAGAACCCUUCAUGAAAACCUCAAACAGUGUAGGAAUUGAACGCACGAUGUUGUGAAUCACUGCAUUGCAGCCGCCCAGUCAACUGAGAUACUCCACCCAACUUCGCAACACAAAGCACAAGUCAACCAUGUGAUGGAAUACUCCCCACUUGCUUGGAUCAGUGCACCCCAACAACACUCAAGAAACUUCACACCAUCCAGGACAAAGCAGCCUGCUUGACUGGCACUACAUCCACAAGCAUCCACUCCCUCCACCACCGACGCUCAAUAGCAACAGUGUCUACUAUUUACAAGACGCACUGCAGAAAUUCACCAAAGAUCCUCAGACAGCACCUUCCAAACCCACGACCACUUCUAUCUAGAAGGACAAGGGCAACAGAUACAUGGGAACACCACCACCUUCAAGUUCGCCUCCAAGCUGCUCACUAUCCUGACUUGGAAAUAAAUCGUCAUUCUUUCACUCUCGCUGGGUCAAAAUGCUGAAAUUCCCUCCUUAAGGACAUUGUGGGUCAACCUACAGCAGGUGGACUGCAGCAGUUCCAGAAGGCAGCCCACCAUCACCUUCUCAAGGGCAACUAGGGAUGGGCAAUGAAUGCUGGCCAGUCAGUGACACCCACACCCCACAAAUGAAUAAUUUUAAAAAAAAUAAACUUAUAGGAUUCUCAUCAAUUUCUCAUUAAGAUGCCCCUACCCCAUUUAUCUACAGUUAAAACUUUAAUUCCUAAAACUAAACAUUAUAUUCUGAAAGAUCAAUUAUGAACUAGAUAUUUGCAACAGGUAGAACUGUUCUCUGUUAUAUCUGUCAGAUGAAUGGCUGUCAUAUUAAGAUGUAAAGAUAUUCAGGUAUUGUAACUAAGGGUUGAUUGUUUAUUUUACCUGUCUAUGUAAGAUUAUAAAAUAGGAAUACACGCCUAUGAAACAUCACAAACUAGUCCUCAGUGACAUGCAGCCUCUAAUAAUGUGCAAUGCAAUUUAAUAUUUCUGGGAUUUAAAAUAAUAUUUGUAAUUGUUAUUUAGUGAUUACAUGCAUAUAUUUCCCAGCUUCAUAAGCUUGGGUUUAAACAGUUAGGUUCUUAUGAUUUUGUAAAGUUACAGGCUUUUAUCACGAGUACUCUUUUUUAGCUCUGAGAAUGGUAUCAACUCCUCCCUUCCCAAAGUUCUCCAUGUAUCUCUUUUUGAAAGGCUUUUCAGGAACAUUAACCUCAUUAUUAAAAAAAUGCUUCUGCUGUUUAAUUACUAAUCCCAACUUUCCAGGCCAAUUUUGAUUUGAAAGCGAUGUUAAAAUGCAGGAAUUUUUGGAACUCCAGUAAAGUUGAGGUUGAGCUGCAAUUCUUGUGGGGUUAACCACCAAUCUGUACAACUCAUCCAGUAACCUGUGUUGAUUCACUAUUCAUGGGCUAUUGUUUCCUUGUCACAGUUAGUUGAGCAUUUUACGUAUUAAUGAGGAUGUGGGCAUUAAAUUUGUCAUUCUUGUCCUUUCCUGGUCCCUGUCACAUCCCACACAAGCAGCUGCAAUGACCUCACCUGACCACACUGAGAAUUUGGCAAGCUUUAGUAGUGUACAAAUUCAUAGAUUCUCCAUUGUGAUAUUUUGUACACAUUGCCAGAUGUCAGCUAUUGCAGACAGCCAGGGAGUUUUGGAACUGUCAGGUAAUACAAAUAACUCAAACACAUUUUUAAAAUACUUGAUACCACUCCAAAAGAACAAAAACAGAUAAUUUUAGCAGGUCCUGGCCUUAGCAAAUGUCAUAUAUGCUUGUGCCAGUUUGACAAGCUGACAUUGUGGUUGGUCUCCAUGAUCAGAAACUCUACACUCUGAUAUUUUUUAAUGUAAAGAUAAAAGUAAUCAAAGUAAGUAUGACACUCCUGAGUUAUGUUUGAAAUUGCCCUCAAAAAUUGGUAAAAUUGAGAGAACAUUUCUGUUCCAAAAACCUAGUUCCUACAUCAUUUUCCUACUUUCUUAAGAUUCCCUUGUCUCACAUCCAGUCCUGAACAAUGACCUUGUUAGUUGAUCUCUCGAGUUUUGCUUUAAAUCUUUGUCAAGGGUGUCUGGCAGAGUAAUGUUCUGACCCAUGAUUUUCCUUCCUGUCUCAGAAAAUACCUGUGCUUCUUACCUUCCCUUUGAAUAUCCAUGUAUGAUUGAACAAUUUCUCUGUUAGUAAAGACUGGAAUGGUC